rnacentral:misc_RNA from 1 species
GCCGUAGCAGUGCCGCGGCGCACCCCCUCCCUUCCCCACAUACACAUGCGCGCAUACCCCCACAGGCGCCGCGGCGUACACCCCUGAAAGAGAACCACACGCUCAUACGUAGAGGAGACACACACGCGCGUGUUGGGCGCCACCCCACUGACCGACUUACCGAUCUGUGUGUGCCGCGGCUGCUUCGUCUUCUCCUCGUUGCAUGCCCUGCGCAGCUCACUGGCGGCUGCACCGCGCCACCACCGCUGCCGCUCCCCUAUCUUUUUGCCGCGUCUUGCCUUUGCGGUGCUGGGCCGCAUGUGGAGAGCGGAGGAGAACAUCUUUGCCCGCGCGAGGCCCGCGCGGCUCGACACGCAGUACAGCAGCACGGGCGCCUGCACGACGGCGCCGCCUGCGCGCACGUUGAUGCCGCCGCGGUGGUUUCACGUCCCCGGAAGCGGCGCGCGGGACGCGCAGGGGCCGCCGGAGGGCCUCGUCACGUCCACUCAUCUGUCCUCCUCGCUGCUGCUGCAGCGGAGCUCGUUGCUGGACCACGGCGGUACUGCGGACGCUUCUGCACAUGCGCUGGGGUGUGGCGGCCGAGACGCUGACGGGAGCUGCUGGGGCAUCGCUGGGCCCUCCCCCGCGAUGCAGCCGCAGCAGCCUUUCGCCCCGCACGGUGGCGCGGGCACACGCGACACUCGCUCGCUGGGGAGCCUCCUCUGUCACCCCGACCUGCGUCCCACGCGCGACACGAGCGCAGACAACACGUCGCCAACAGAGGUGAGUCGCCUGCUUCGUCAGUACCGCGACGAGAACGCGCGGCUGCGCGAGCAGCUCAAGGCGAAAGAGCUGCACGAGGCACACAUCAUGGCGAGGCUCGAGGAGACAAGUCACAGGUGCGCACACCUGCAGCUGGCAUGGCAGCGUGCCAGCGGUGACACACCGAGCUCGCUGUUGCAGAGCGCAGGCGACAAGGCGGAUGCUGCGCAGAGUGUGGGCAGUCACGGUGGGGAGGCUGAAGAGACGGUGCAGUCGCGCCUCGCGCAGAAGGAGGCUGAGGUGCGCGAGCUGCAGGGACGCGUGGAGGCGUACCGGGAGGCGUUGCAGCGCUCUCGCGCCCACGCGGCGCUCUCGGAGGAGGAGCGGCGGGCAGCUGCUGCACCCGCCACCUGCGCCGCAGGCAGCGUCUCGCCCACAUCGCUCCACGUGCUCCUCUUGCAGUCCCUCAACGCCGCCGACUACCUCGUGAAGGUGUUUAACGCGCUGCAACACUGCCACUGCACGCGGCACGGAGAUGCCCACGGGAGCGCCAGUGACUGCUGUCGCCGCAGCCUCCACGACUGCAAGGUGCGCUGCCUCCAGGCAGCCGUGAAGGGCGCACCCAUCAGUUCCGAGCUGCUGGAGCUGGAGGAUGGACCGGAGAACGACACGGCCGCCGCAAACAUGGAAACUGCUGUCGCGGUUCGAGAGGAGCUGCUUUACUGCGAGGCGGUGGCCGUGCGCCUCGCGGCCUCCCUGCUGAGCCGCGAGAGGACUACCGACGAGGACGCUGCCCCGCCUGCCACCACCACAGCCGCCGCCGCACCACCAGAGAAAGCAGCGUCACCGCCGCCCCUCUCCGCACUUGGGCCACUGACCGCGCUUGGGGUCGCCGAGCCCGUCGCUUUAGCGAAGGCGGCGGCGGCUGAAACUCACGACGACGGCGACGAUGAGGGCGCGGGGGAGGGCGAGAAGAGCACGGAGGAGAACGGGCAGGCCACGGUGUCGUACGUGGCUGCCGCGCGAGAGCCUCGACGCCGCCCUUCGCGAUGCCGUCCCGAUGUUGGCGACUGCGAGGUGCAGUAGUUCAGCGACAGGAACGGCUCUGGCGACAGCGGUGGCGGGUGAUGGGGGCUGUUUGCACGUUUGCGCGUGCGUCGCGCACUACUGUCGAACGCCCCACUCAUGCCUACGGCCCCCGUCACACAUCCCCCUCUUCCCACCCCCUCUCACCGGAUAGAGCACCGCACGGGAUGCGUGCCGAGCAGACACAUCGUAGGGGCGCCCGCUUGCCAGUUCAUGCAACACGAACGGGCGACUCCUCAUAGAGAAGCGUCCGCACUGCAGGAUGAGCCACCUCACGCACGCGCUCUCUUUUCUCUUUUCCGUCUCUGUGCGCGUAUACAUGUGCGUGUGUGUGUCUCACGCAAUCCUUCCCUGGGUUUCCGUCCUCUUGUGCUCUCGACCUCUACUCCUCUAUGCGCCCAUCGCACAUGGCGCGUAUUUCUUGCCACCGUUGUCCUUGCUUUCAGGAGCACCGCAGAGGGGUGGGGGGGGCUAAAAAAUGAAGGAGGAGGGUGCUGGCCCUUCCACCAUCCGAAAACUGCCACAGCUUCCCCGCUCGCGACCCAGCCGCACACCGAUUCGCAUACAGAGACGUUAUGCCGCAAGGAGGUGUUCGCAAGCUGGAGGCAGACUUGCCAGUGCGACAGACGGCGGCAGGUGAGGGAGACGAGUGAGAAGGCGGGAUGGAGAAAAAGGAAGGUGGCGGGAGAGACUGAGGCAGUGGUAUGAGAUAGGGGCGUGCAUGUGCGUGUACUGUGUCCUCUGCGAAAUGCUCCCCCUUCUCUCCUCCCCCGACUCCCCUCCGUCUCCGCAGUGCUGAGUGCUGGUGCGCUCUGCUGACGUCCUCACGUGUUGCGUGACUGCGGCGGCACCGACUGCCAUAAAGGUGGACGACGUGUGUAUGAGUGCAUGCAUGUGUUCGCGUGGCGCGGUGCCAAGCCUCUCUCGUUU